rnacentral:rRNA from 1 species
UACGAAGGGGGCUAGCGUUGCUCGGAAUCACUGGGCGUAAAGGGUGCGUAGGCGGGUCUUUAAGUCAGGGGUGAAAUCCCGGAGCUCAACUUCGGAAUUGCCUCCGAUACUCCCGUGCUUGAGGACUGGAGAGGAGUCUGGAAUUCACAGUGGAGCAGUGAAAUGCGUAGAUAUUGUGAGGAACACUAGUGGCGAAGGCGAGACUCUGGACAGUUCCUGACGCUGAGGCACGAAGGCCAGGGGAGCAAACGGG